rnacentral:lncRNA from 1 species
AAGCUCUAAACUUCAAGCUUAACAUUCAUAAAUCAUAAAUCCUGCCGGUAUGAAAAUGAAGCUGCUCUCAUCAAAUCCUGAAAAAGUAUAUUUAAAAGUCAUUUCAGUACUCAUUGGUCUAUAAGCUAUCCUAGACCGAGCAUCAACCCAAAAACAAUUGGCUAAGUGGCCUUAUCCAUUUGUAUUGCAUAAAAGAAGCCCGGGCUCUCAAAUUGACGUUUUUGAAAGUACUUCAACAUUAAUUGAACGUCUCCUUUCUCAAGAUUCUUUUGAAUCUUAGUAGUUAAAUAAUUUUGAAUAUCUCGUCCAGUUAAAUUGAGAUUCUCUACCUCUGCCUGAGUAACUAAUACUGAUGCAAUCUUACUAGGACGAACACCUGAAUUAUCUAAUAAAUCAAUAAGAUUCUUUUGAGCCUCCGACUUCUUUCUUUUCGUCCAUAAGAAUUUUUGACUAUAUGGAUAAGCAAGUUCAUGAUUAUGAUUUGAGACCAGCCUAGCAACAACCCACUUUUCUUCUUCUUUCUUCGACAAAUAUAUCAUCACUUUGCACCCUUCUCUAGUUUCAUCUUGUUGCAUAUUAUUUUCGAGACUUUUUUAUGAGCGAAAUCCUUCUUUUGAACAAACAAAUUCUUGAUCAAUUAUUGAUUUAUCUGUUCUUGAUCGACUGAUUCGCACACUAAAACCACUACGAUCAGCAUAAUCAAGAUAAAACUUAUAUGCAAUAUCAGGUGAUUGAAACUCCAUACCGAUAUAUGGCACUCUCGUUUCUUCAUUAUCGAAUUGGGGAGUAAAUGGUACAACUGCAUUCAUGUUGUUUUCUAUUUCCUCAUGUGAAGCUCCAACGCCUUCUGCAUUUUCCUCCUGCAGCAUAUAACUAAUGCUUGUUAGAUUAACAAAACAAAUAUAGCUUAAAAGUUCAAACUAUAUUAUUCAACAUGAGAAGUUCUUUAAGAAAAAUAAUAAAUAAAUAAUUACCAUGAAUUGUUUUAAUGGCGGGUGUUGGUGGUUGUUUCAAUGAUAUUAAAGAAGAAACAUUGGUGGUUGUUUCAAUGAUAUUAAAAAAGAAACAGUGAUGUGAACGAUGAUAAAAUAAAGCAAGAACGAUCAAAUCUUCUUAUUUACGGUAAGUCAAAAAAGAAUCC